CUCUCGGAUGAGUGACAAGGCGAGUGUGGCCUUAUUUAUCAAAAGAGGUUUCCGAAAAUGGAAUAGGUAACCGAAGCAACCGCUUUAAUCAAACCACGAAAUUUAACAGAAACCAAAACGAUAUUCCAAAAACAGAAAGAUGGGUUCCACAAGAGACGUCAUGGGCCCGUCAAAAUAUCCAAACCGUGGCUUAACAGCGGAAUACAGUGUCCCUACGAGCGUGCCUUUCCCAUGCACUAGUCACUUGUACCCUACGUAGCCCCACUGUCACGUCACCUUCUAGUCUUUAGGGUUUUAAAAAGAGGUUCUUAAAAAAAGGAAAAAAAAAUAAAUAAAAAAUGGUUUAAAAAUACAUAACCGGUUCUUAAUAUAGCAUUUUUAGAAUUGGUUAAAACCCCUUUGCGUGUCCCUUUAUUAUUGGGUGUCUAUGUCUCUCUUCUUCCUCAAUGUUCUUCGUAUAAUCAAUUUCUCUUUUCCUUCUCCUUCGAGGUAACUCCGGAUCCACCGAAUACCACAUGCUUGUUCCCCCUUUUCCCUACUCCGUCGAACUCCGUCUCAGCUAUUUCAACCGGUCUUCAAUGGCUUCGAAACGCCAGCUUCACGACGGAUCUCUCUGUCAUCGACGCCGCAGCUUCCACAGCUCCUUCCCUAUCCGAGUCUGGCGACGACAAGGUGAAGAAGAAGAGGGAUAAAAAGAAGAAGAAGCGGAAGAGAGAUUCUGAUGAAUACUAUACAAAGCCCACCAAGGAUUUUUAGUUGGAUACUCGUCUUGAUCCGGAUAAUCUUGCUUAUGGCUCCAUCUACAGCCUACAGGUGUUGGAACAGUGUAAGUUUUUCUGUGUUUUUCUUCCGGCUGAGACUUUUGUUCUUGGAUCCAACCAGUGUGGAGUAAAGACAUGUGACAGCAGAAGCAUGUGAGUCAUAAAGCUUAUGUUGGUAUGUUUUAGUCACUCAUAGAUUUGUGUUCUGUUUAUAAGAAAUUAGGAUUAUAACUGAUGCUUAUGAGAUGACACUCGGCUCUUUAUCAUGUGUUCUGCUUAUCAGUCACUCAGACUUGUCUCUUUAUCAUAGAUUUUGUGUUCUGUUCUUGCUUGUGUGUCAAGAUAAACAAGUUGUGUACAAUUAAAAGCUGAUUUGGUUGAGACCAUAAAAAAAAAAAUUAAGAACUUCAAAGA